rnacentral:tRNA from 1 species
GGUGGCUCAGUGGUAAGAGUGCUUGCCUUGCAUGCAUGAAGCCUGGGUUCAAUUCCUCAGCACCA